UUUUAGAUUAUAAUUUAAAGUCUAACCUGCCCACUGAUAAUUAUUAAAGGGCCGCGGUAUAUUGACUGUGCAAAGGUAGCAUAAUCAUUUGUCUUUUAAUUGAAGGCUAGAAUGAAUGGUUGAAUGAAGUAUUAACUGUCUCAUUUUAAUAAAUUAAAAAUUUAAUUUUUUAGUUAAAAAGCUAAAAUUUAAUUAGAGGACGAGAAGACCCUAUAGAUCUUUAUAUAUUUUAUUUUAUUAAAUAUUAGAUUAUAAUAAUUUAUUAAUUUAAAAUUUAUUUUAUUGGGGUGAUAGGAAAAUUAAUUUAACUUUUUUUAAUUUUAACAUUGAUAUAUGAAUAAUUGAUCCUUUACUAAAGAUUAAAAAUUUAAGUUACCUUAGGGAUAACAGCGUAAUUUUUUUAGAGAGUUCAUAUCGAUAAAAAAGAUUGCGACCUCGAUGUUGAAUUAAAGGUUAUUUUUAAAUGCAGAAGUUUAAAGUUUAAGUCUGUUCGACUUUUGAAUCUUU
rnacentral:rRNA from 2 species